UAUACCAGAUCGCUUAAUCCAAUUUGGAGCGGGGGACCCACAUCAGUGUGAUUCCGGCACUUGGGGUGAAUCGAUCGCUGCAGGCGAAAGAGGGGCAACUCUUAUGCCCUAACCCGGCAGCUAACCUCGUAAGCGUCUUAAGAGAAGGGAC
rnacentral:sRNA from 2 species